rnacentral:rRNA from 1 species
ACUCCUACGGGAGGCAGCAGUGGGGAAUUUUGGACAAUGGGCGCAAGCCUGAUCCAGCCAUGCCGCGUGCGGGAAGAAGGCCUUCGGGUUGUAAACCGCUUUUGUCAGGGAAGAAAAGGUUCUGGCUAAUACCUGGGACUCAUGACGGUACCUGAAGAAUAAGCACCGGCUAACUACGUGCCAGCAGCCGCGGUAAUACGUAGGGUGCAAGCGUUAAUCGGAAUUACUGGGCGUAAAGCGUGCGCAGGCGGUUAUGCAAGACAGAGGUGAAAUCCCCGGGCUCAACCUGGGAACUGCCUUUGUGACUGCAUGGCUAGAGUACGGUAGAGGGGGAUGGAAUUCCGCGUGUAGCAGUGAAAUGCGUAGAUAUGCGGAGGAACACCGAUGGCGAAGGCAAUCCCCUGGACCUGUACUGACGCUCAUGCACGAAAGCGUGGGGAGCAAACAGGAUUAGAAACCCCAGUAGUCCCAUG